rnacentral:rRNA from 1 species
CCUACGGGCGGCAGCAGUGGGGAAUAUUGGACAAUGGGCGAAAGCCUGAUCCAGCCAUGCCGCGUGUGUGAAGAAGGCCUUCGGGUUGUAAAGCACUUUCAGUGGGGAAGAAAGCCUUGGGGCUAAUACCCUCGAGGAAGGACAUCACCCACAGAAGAAGCACCGGCUAACUCCGUGCCAGCAGCCGCGGUAAUACGGAGGGUGCGAGCGUUAAUCGGAAUUACUGGGCAUAAAGCGCGCGUAGGCGGUCUGAUAAGCCGGUUGUGAAAGCCCCGGGCUCAACCUGGGAACGGCAUCCGGAACUGUCAGGCUAGAGUGCAGGAGAGGAAGGUAGAAUUCCCGGUGUAGCGGUGAAAUGCGUAGAGAUCGGGAGGAAUACCAGUGGCGAAGGCGGCCUUCUGGACUGACACUGACGCUGAGGUGCGAAAGCGUGGGUAGCAAACAGGAUUAGAUACCCGGGUAGUC